ensembl:lncRNA
CAACCCUAUAGCUGAUAAAUUGGCACUGGUAUUUCAGUCAAUGAAGUGGGGUCAAUAUUACAGUCAGUGAAGCACGUGUCUGCUAUGAUAGCUAGCAGGUACAAUUUUAGCAUGUUUAGCUUCUAGCUAGCUGUGCAUUGUUAAGUUGGCAUUUUGGCAAGUUUGGUCUCAUGUGUAGUGUCUAUCUGCCAUCCUCUUUAUAAUGAAAAUCAAGCUUCGGCAUUUUAAUCACUGUUCAAGUCGGUUCAGACAACUAAUGGGUAUUGGCGCCUGUUUGAACGUAAAGUACGGCCUUAUCUGCUAAUGGUUGCUACCGACCAUUACCUUGAAACCAUUCAGCAAAUACACAGUCCAUAUGGUGAUUUAAUAUCACCGCUCAUUUUACACACAGUUUAAAAUGAGCGGUUAGUAAUGAGUGAACUUUACUUGCUAGCUAGCUACGUUUUUCAUGUUGGUUUUGAGCGGUAUGCACCCCCACUAACCUAGAAAACUGUUUUAAAACAGUAACAUUAGCUAGCUAGCUAAUACAGAGGAAUACUCCAUGCAGAGAGUCAGAUGCAGAGGGACAGUCAUUGCAGCGUUAGCUAAUGUUAGCUUCUUGUUUCAUCUGGGGUCUAAUAAACAGUCUAAUUUGUAGCAAUGAAACAGACAACACCACUAUUCAACUAUGUUUUUAUUUAAAUACAUUAGAAAUGAUAACUUUUACACACCUGAUCAAGGUGUCUUUCUGAAAUGUCUCUUUUAGAACAAAAAUGAAUAGAAAGACUGUGCUUGUCUCCUUAUCAACCUUAAGACGAACUGCUAUAUCCAUUUUGGUAAGCCCUGAACAUCUCUACCUUGCUGACUAUGCCGGACAAAUGCUAAAAUCUUUUGUAAACCAUUUUGGCGAGCUGUAUGGGACAGACCAGAUUGUGUACAAUGGUCCACCUGGCAGACGAGGUGACGAGGCAUGGCUGUCUGUCUUUUUCAGCAACAACACCCCAACAGAUUCUGCCAAAAAAAUGCAACAGUACUCUACGGUUAAGCUGAAGUUCUACUUGACCAUUAUGACCUGUACUUUUUCCUUCCUUAUACUUCUUCCCACCUUGGGGCACCAUUCAGGUUAACUUUCAGCCCAUCUUACUUGCUUAUUUGUAUACAUUGUAGGCCUAUACUUGUGCAUGCUUUAGUCCAUGUUAUUCCUUUUUUGAUGAUGAAUAAAUACCCUUUUUCUUUCUACAUUAAGGAUGCCUUUUAAUCUAAUUGAAUUUCAAGCAAGCGAGGACAUUGCUGUUGUGCCAGUUGACUGGUAUGAUGACGGGAUGGUGUACUGGCCCAGCUUUAAGAGCACUGAACGUGUGAAACGGGCAGCUGCUAACGAGGAGAAGCAUGAGCCAAACUGGCCAAGAUAUGACGUAAAGGUCGUCAGAACUUGUGCUAUCGUUUUGGGGACUCUGACGAGAGUGAAGAGAAGCUAAGUCACAAUUUUCUCUGAGGUCGCCACGACCUUCCAACUCGGCUGGUGUAUCAGUUGGAUCCUCAAGCCCAAACCAAUUACACUGGCAAACUCCACCAUCUCGCCGAGUGCCAGGCAGCAGAGUCACUACUCCUCAACCUGGAGGAAACUGUCUAGGGCCAUUGUUUGGCCCUGUAGCUCGCAGCAUACCAUUGGUUAACAGAUCACAACCAUUUUAAUAGCAAUCUCUCUCCCUUAUCACCUGACCAUGGGGCCGGACCGCAACACCCUUCACCACCUCAACUCCCUGCACCUGCAUUUAACAUGAGGAGAGUUACUCAAGGAACGGCAGUCCCUCCUCAACUCCCUCCACCCCCCGCACCAACCCUCAACAUGAGCCGAACAGAGGAGCCCUCUUUAAGCCUGGCCUACAGACCAACAUGGCGAGGGGGAAGAAUGACCGAUACCAUUCCCUGCUCUGCAGCUGAGGUCCACAUCCUUAGCCUGCUGGAGACCAUUAAACAGCAACAAGACCAGCUUGUGGCAAAGGUGAAC